UACAGAGGUGGCAAGCGUUGUUCGGAAUUACUGGGCGUAAAGGGUGCGUAGGCGGCGCGGUAAGUCGGGUGUGAAAUCUCGGGCUUAACUCCGAAACUGCAUUCGAUACUGCCGUGCUUGAGGACUGGAGAGGAGACUGGAAUUUACGGUGUAGCGGUGAAAUGCGUAGAUAUCGUAAGGAAGACCAGUGGCGAAGGCGGGUCUCUGGACAGUUCCUGACGCUGAGGCACGAAGGCCAGGGGAGCAAACGGG
rnacentral:rRNA from 1 species